rnacentral:rRNA from 1 species
CCGCCGCGGUAACACCGACAGCUCUAGUGGUAGCUGUUUUAUUGGGCCUAAAGCGUUCGUAGCCGGUUUAAUAAGUCUCUGGUGAAAUCCUAUAGCUUAACUGUGGGAAUUGCUGGAGAUACUAUUAGACUUGAGAUCGGGAGAGGUCAGAGGUACUCCUGGGGUAGGGGGUGAAAUCCUGUAAUCCUAGGAGGACCACCUGUGGCGAAGGCGUCUGACUAGAACGAAUCUGACGGUGAGGAACGAAAGCUAGGGGCGCGAACCGGAUUAGAUACCCGGGUAGUCCUAGCCGUAAACCAUGCGGACUUGGUGUGAGGGUGGCUUUGAGCCGUCCUGGUGCCGAAGGGAAGCUGUUAAGUCCGCCGCCUGGGAAGUACGGUCGCAAGACUGAACUUAAAGGAAUUGGCGGGGGAGCACCACAACGCGUGGAGCCUGCGGUUUAAUUGGAUUCAACGCCGGAGAUCUCACCAGCGGCGACAGCAGUAUGAUGACCAGGUUGAUGACUUUGUUUGACAAGCUGAGAGGAGGUGCAUGG